rnacentral:lncRNA from 1 species
AUUUCAAAUACUUUUUUUUUCUAAAGCACAUUGUCCAAUAUUGUUAGGAAAAAUAAGUCAUGAAAUUGAUUUUUGUUAUGUUUCCUUCCAAUCAUUAUGAAAAGCCAUUGACUGUAAGCUAAAAAUGGAAAAGAAAGAAGAAAAGAACCAAAGCCUGGCACUCAAAAUGAAAGGAUGGAGACAUUAACCAUUUAUGAGCCUGACUUUUUUUUUUUAUUUUAAAGAGCAAGUGAAUUAAUAUUUUGUGUUGAACUCAAUUUUCAACUAGAUUUUCAAAGAAGCACUGAAUGCUCCUCUUUUAUGUUUAGGAAAAACUUGUGUUUUUAACAACUAACUCCAUUUCUGGGAGACUGAAGCUCUUACACAUUUUACAAAUUAUUUUCUUGGCUACAGCAAACAAGCUCACCCCUGGAGCACCUCCUGAUGCCCCAGAGACAGGGCUUCUCAGACUGCAGGACAGACUCCUGGGACUCUCCUGGUGAUCUUUUUCGAAUGCAGAAAGCCAGCAGUCCACUCAGAUAAUAUCAAGAAGCUGAAACCCACCAAAUCACUGCAUCUGGACAAUGAGAUGCCAGACUCCUCACAGUCAUGGUCAUAAUUGCUUAACUGACCACUUGCUUCCUGUUGACCAACUCCUCUUCCUUACCGCUCCCUAAUUCCUGUUUUCCCACACAAGGUUACAUUUCUUCCCUGCUACAUAAACCCCUAAUUUCAGUCAGUCAGGAAGAUGGAUUUGAGGCUGAUCUCCCAUCUCCUCAGCUGCAGCACCCAAUAAAGCCUUUGUCCUUAGCAACACUUGCUGUCUCAGUGAUUGGCUUUCUGUGCAGCAAGCUGCAGAAUCUAGAGUGAACCGCUGGUGUUUUUGGUAACAAAGAAAACUCCUGCCUUCAAAUUCCCUGGGGAUCUCAUUGGAAAGAUAGGAAAAUAGGCGCUUUUCAGAAUAUUGUGGAACAAUAAUGCAAUCACAGGGUAUAAAGGGUCCUUAUAGAAAUUGAAAGUAACUCCAGACUGAGGGGUUAAGGACAGACAAGCUGGAGAAGAAGCUGUUGUCUGCUCUGAGAUUCAGCAUAAGAAUCCCACCACUUGUUAUAUCAUAAUAACCAGUAUCUCUUACCUGAAUUUGGCAGUUGCUUUACUCCACCAUUUUCUAAACUACCUGACCCAUUUUUCACCUACAUGACAUUUGAUGCUUAAAAGGAUUACCUUGAAUGGACAAAUACAGCCCCUUAAGAGUGACCACUUUGCAUCUGCCCUGCAGUGACCUGCCUUCAUCUCCAGGGAAGGAGUUGAGAUUCAGUUAGCAGCAAUAAAAAUCUCUAGAUGCUCUUUUUCUUUGGAUACACUACUUAGCAUAUCUGAACCUCAGCCUACCAAAUGGACCUUCAGUAGUACCCAGCCCAUUAUAAAUAUUUUUUUUGAAUUUAAUAUAGUAUAAAGAUGAGGGAAGGUUCUGAAAAAAUAUAUUUUUUAAAAAAAUAGUCAAAUAAGGAUAUUUCAUACAUAAAGGUGAUUUCUCCAUAUUCAGUGUAAAAUUAUCAUUUAUAAACUUUAUUUGUUAAUAUUAAUU